rnacentral:rRNA from 1 species
UGGCGAACGGGUGAGUAAUAUAUCGGAACGUACCCUAGAGUGGGGGAUAACGUAGCGAAAGUUACGCUAAUACCGCAUACGAUCUAAGGAUGAAAGUGGGGGAUCGCAAGACCUCAUGCUCGUGGAGCGGCCGAUAUCUGAUUAGCUAGUUGGUAGGGUAAAAGCCUACCAAGGCAUCGAUCAGUAGCUGGUCUGAGAGGACGACCAGCCACACUGGAACUGAGACACGGUCCAGACUCCUACGGGAGGCAGCAGUGGGGAAUUUUGGACAAUGGGCGAAAGCCUGAUCCAGCAAUGCCGCGUGAGUGAAGAAGGCCUUCGGGUUGUAAAGCUCUUUUGUCAGGGAAGAAACGGUGAAAGCUAAUAUCUUUUGCUAAUGACGGUACCUGAAGAAUAAGCACCGGCUAACUACGUGCCAGCAGCCGCGGUAAUACGUAGGGUGCAAGCGUUAAUCGGAAUUACUGGGCGUAAAGCGUGCGCAGGCGGUUUUGUAAGUCUGAUGUGGAAUCCCCGGGCUNCACCUGGGAAUUGCAUUGGAGACUGCAAGGCUAGAAUCUGGCAG